rnacentral:misc_RNA from 1 species
GAUGAAGAACGUAGCGAAAUGCGAUACGUAAUGUGAAUUGCAGAAUUCAGUGAAUCAUCGAAUCUUUGAACGCAUAUUGCGCUCUCUGGUAUUCCGGAGAGCAUGCUUGUUUGAGUAUCAGUAAACACCUCAACUUCCAUAUCUUUUUUUGAAAUGGGAGUUGGACUUGAGUGAUCCCAACGCUUUUCCUCACCGAAAAGUGGCGGGUUACUUGAAAUGCAGGUGCAGCUGGACUUUUCUCUGAGCUAUAAGCAUAUCUAUUUAGUCUGCCUAAAAAACAUAUUAUUACCUUUGCUGCAGCUAACAUAAAGGAGAUUAGUUCUUGUGCUGACUGAUGCAGGAUUCACAAAGACAGCUUCGGCCGACUUUGUAAACUCGAUCUCAGAUCAAGUAAGACUACCCGCUGAACUUAAGCAUAUCAAUAAGCGGAGGA